GAUGAACGCUAGCGGCAGGCUUAAUACAUGCAAGUCGUGGGGCAGCAGGACUGUAGCAAUCCAGUUGCUGGCGACCGGCAAACGGGUGCGGCACACGUACGCAACUUACCCUGAACUGGGGGAUAGCCCGGGGAAACCCGGAUUAAUACCCCGUAAUAUAAUGGAGUGGCAUCACUUUAUUAUUAAAGCUCCGGCGGUUCGGGAUGGGCGUGCGGCUGGUUAGGUAGUUGGUUGAGGUAACGGCUCACCAAGCCUACGAUCAGUAACUGGUGUGAGAGCACGACCAGUCACACGGGCACUGGGACAAGGGCCAGACUGCUACGGGAGGCAGCAGUAAGGAAUAUUGGGCAAUGGAGGCAACUCUGACCCAGCCAUGCCGCGUGGAGGAUGAAGGCCCUCGGGGUUGUAAACUUCUUUUAUAGGGGACGAAACCUGUGUAUUCUUACGCAGUUGACGGUACCCGAGGAAUAAGCACCGGCUAACUCCGUG
rnacentral:rRNA from 1 species